UACGGAGGGUGCAAGCGUUAUCCGGAUUUACUGGGUUAAAGGGUGUGUAGGCGGACUUUAAGUCAGGGGUGAAAUCCCGAGGCUCAACCUCGGAACUGCCUUUGAUACUAUUGGUCUUGAAUGUUGUUGAGGUUUGCGGAAUGGGUCAUGUAGCGGUGAAAUGCAUAGAUAUGACCCGGAACACCUAUUGCGAAGGCAGCAGGCUAAACAAAUAUUGACGCUGAGGCUCGAAAGCGUGGGAUCAAACAGG
rnacentral:rRNA from 1 species